AGAGUUCGAUCCUGGCUCAGAAUGAACGAUUGCGGCGUGCCUGAUGCAUGCAAGUCGUACGCUUUAAUAUUUCGCAAGAUUUAUUAGGGAGUGGCGGACGGCUGAGUAACACGUAAGUUACCUACCUCUAAGUGGGGGAUAACUUACCGAAAGGCAAGCUAAUACCGCAUGUGAAGUAUUUUUAAAGCUUUCGAGCGCUUGGAGAUGGGCUUGCGGCUGAUUAGCUAGUUGGUAGGGUAAUGGCCUACCAAGGCGACGAUCAGUAGCUGGUCUGAGAGGACGACCAGCCAGACAGGGACUGCGACACGGCCCUGACUCCUACGGGAGGCAGCAGCAAGGAAUUUUGCGCAAUGGGCGAAAGCCCGACGCAGCGACGCCGCGUGGGGGAUGACGGCUUUCGGGUUGUAAACCCCUUUUCUUGAGAAGAAUUAUGACUGUACUCAAGGAAUAAGUCAUGGCUAACUACGUGCCAGCAGCCGCGGUAAAACGUAGGUGGCGAACGUUAUUCGGAUUUACUGGGCGUAAAGCGGGUGUAGACGGCUGUUUAAGUCGAAUGUGAAAUCUCCUGACUCAAUCAGGAUGGGUCGUUCGAUACUGAAUGGCUUGAGGGCAUCAGAGGAAGAUAGAAUUCCCGGUGUAGCGGUGAAAUGCGUAGAUAUCGGGAGGAAUACCAGUGGCGAAGGCGGUCUUCUAGGAUGUUCCUGACGUUGAGGCCCAAAAGCGUGGGGAGCAAAACGGAUUAGAUACCCGUGUAGCCCACGCCCUAAACGGUGGAUACUAGGUAUAGGGGGUAUCGACCCUCUCUGUGCCGAAGCUAACGCUUUAAGUAUCCCGCCUGGGGACUACGGCCGCAAGGCUAAAACUCAAAGGAAUUGACGGGGGCCCGCACAAGCAGCGGAGCGUGUGGUUCAAUUCGAUGCAACGCGAAGAACCUUACCAAGGCUUGACAUGUUAGAAGUAGAAACUCGAAAGAGCAACGACCUGUAUCCAGUCAGGAGCUUUCACAGGUGCUGCAUGGUUGUCGUCAGCUCGUGCCGUGAGGUGUUAGGUUAAGUCCUGCAACGAGCGCAACCCUCGUCGCUAGUUAAUUUCUCUAGCGAUACUGCCCGUAAAACGUGGAGGAAGGUGGGGAUGACGUCAAAUCAGCAUGGCCUUUAUGUCUUGGGCUACACACACGCUACAAUGGAUGGUACAAAGGGUUGCCAAAGAGCGAUCUGGAGCUAAUCCCAAAAAACCAUCCUCAGUUCAGAUUGCAGGCUGCAAUGCCUGCAUGAAGUUGGAGUUGCUAGUAAACGCAGGUCAGCACACUGCGUUGAAUACGUUCUCGGGCCUUGUACACACCGCCCGUCACGUCAUGGGAGUUGGUAACACCUGAAGUCAAUGGGCUAACCGCAAGGAGGCAGUUGCCGAGGGUGGGACCAGCGACUGGGACGAAGUCGUAACAAGGUA
rnacentral:rRNA from 1 species